rnacentral:misc_RNA from 1 species
AAAAAAUGCAGGCAAGAAGAUUAGAAAGUACCCAUUUUUUUUUCUUUUUUUCUCCCCGUAUACGAUCCUGACCACAAGAACAAGUCUUUAAAUAACAAGACACCCUGAAGCUCUUUUGGAUACUAAAUUUUGCAUUAUUUCUGAUAAUGGUUUUCUAGUGAGGUUUAUUAUCCUCCAAGGUUGCAAAGAUUUAUUUUCUUUUAAUGCCUGUAAU